AGGGGGUGCCGGUGUCUGUGGAUCCGGCUGAGAGCAUACCCUAAGCACCUGAUGCGGAUAAUGCCGCCGAAGGGAUCUGUUUG
rnacentral:ncRNA from 1 species